GGGUCUCUGGCCGCGGUCACGGCCCCGCUGUGCCCGGCCCGGUCCUGCUGCGGGGCCGUCUCCCUUGGGCCCUCCCGCCGCGAUUUCUCCCUUCAAUCGCCGCCUUUUUCCCCUCCUCCGCUUCCCCCAGUCAACUUUUGUAGGAAUUCCUCCUGUGAAGAGGUCGAGCUAAAGCUUCUACCCACUCCCUGCGCAGCCACAAGCACUUGGUGAGCACUUUGUCAGCAGCAGGAACAAGUGAAGUGUACAAGUAGCAGGAACAAGAACCGUGCCCCACAGAAACAGGUUUUGACUUUGCAGUAGUCACCCUGCAUAUGCUCUCUGAUCGCCUCCUAAGUACUACUCUUUGGUGACGAGUUUUCACCAUUGUAGCCUUCUGCAAAUGUUCUGAAUCUUCCCUAUUGUAGAACAAGUUACAUAAUAUAAAUGUUAUAUAAUUUUAAUUACCGCGAGGUAAAUAUAGCAGGCAGCAAAUUCAGUUAUCUGUAAGAUGGGCUGGACUGAUAAGAGUGUGCUCUGCGCAAUCUAGAGGCUUGGGCACAGGAGCACAGCUGUAUGUAGGAUACUUUUCCGAAGUCUGCUUUGGAUGGAAGGCGGUGUAGGAAGAACACAAUGCCUCCCCAAGAGCUUCAUCCAAAAGUUUCAUGUAUUACAACAAAAAUAUUUUUUUACUGGCUUGAGUCAGAUUCCAGGUGAAUACAGUGAGAAAAUGGAAUUGCUUUGUCCACGCCAGUUGCAGGAAACAAGGUGCCUGGAAAUGAAGUUCUUCUAAGAGGGCCAGCAGCCCGUGGAGGUGUAAUGCAAAAGAACGGCUGCUACAAAGUCACUUUUGGUACUGAGCGUGUUUACUCAGCAUCUGCACGAGAAAGUGACAUGUCAUUGUGGAGCAAAUGGAACAUCUUGUGGUAUUUUGGGUAACUUUAAACCUUGUGCCAUGAAUUACGUGGAUAUGUCAUCUUCCAGUCGAAGUUUCUAACUGCAAAUAAAGGCCUUAAAGUGUGAACCUUAAAA